rnacentral:lncRNA from 10 species
AACAACAACAACAACAACAAAAAUAAACUACCAUCAGAGUGAACAGGCAACCUGCAGAAUGGGAGAAAAUUUUUGCAAUCUACCCAUCUGACAAAGGGCUAAUAUCCAGAAUCUACAAAGAACUUAAACAAAUUUACAAGAAAAAAACAACCCCAUUAAAAAGUGGGCAAAGGAUAUGAACAGACAAUUCUCAAAAGUAGACAUCUAUGCAGCCAACAGACACAUGAAAAAAUGCUCAUCAUCCCUGAUCAUCAGAGAAAUGCAAAUCAAAACCACAAUGAGAUACCAUCUCAUGCUGGUUAGAAUGGCAAUCAUUAAAAAGUCAAGAAACAACAGAUGCUGGAGAGGAUGUGAAGAAAUAGGAACGCUUUUACACUGUUGGUGGGAGUGUAAAUUAGUUCAACCAUUGUGGAAGACAGUGUGGCGAUUCCUCAAGGACCUAGAACUAGAAUUACCAUUUGACCCAGCAAUCCCAUUACUGGGUAUAUACCCGAAGGAUUAUAAAUCGUGCUACUAUAAAGACAUAUGAACACGUAUGUUUAUUGCAGCACUUUUCACAAUAGCAAAGACUUGGAACCAACCCAAAUGUCCAUCAAUGAUAGGCUGGAUUAAGCAAAUGUGGCACAUAUACACCAUGGAAUACUAUGCAGUCAUAAAAAAGAUGAGUUCAUGUCCUUUGCAAGGACAUGGAUGAAGCUGGAAACCAUCAUUCUCAGCAAAUUAUCACAAGGACAGAAAACCAAACACCACAUGUUCUCACUCAUAGGUGGGAAUUGAACAAUGAGAUCACUUGGACACAAGGUGGGGAACAUCACACACCGGGGCCUGCUGAGGGGGUGGGGGACCGGGGGAGGGAUAGCAUUAGGAGAAAUACCUAAGAUAAAUGAUGAGUUAAUGGGUGCAGCAAACCAACAUGGCACAUAUAUACCUAUGUAUCAAACCUGCACAUUGUGCCCAUGUACCCUAGAACUUAAAGUAUAAUGAAAAAAAGAAAAAAAAAAAAAAGAAAGAAAGAAAAAAGAAAAAGAAGUUUAAUGGACUCACAGUUCCACGUGGCUGGGGACACCUCACAAUCAUGGCGGAGGGUAAAACGCAUGCCUUACGUGGCAGCAGGCAAGAGAGAAUGAGAACCAAGCAAAAGCGGAAACCCUUUAUAAAAGCAUCAUAUCUCGUGAGACUUCAGUUUGUGCACACGACCACAAGAACAGCAUGAGGGAAAUUGCCCCCAUGAUUCAAUUAUCUCCCACCGGGUCCCUCCCACAACACGUGAAAAUUAUGGGAGCUACAAAUCAAGAUUUGUCUCUUCUGGACGGGAGACAUUAGGUUAGAAAAUGUUGGGGUUGGUGGUCUAGAGCUGGAUUGACCUUUGGUUCUGACAUUCAUCUCUUCUAAGGCCAUGGGCAAAUCAUUCUGUUGCCAGGGUUCAUCAUCUGUAAAUGACAACAUAUAUCUACUCUGCAAGAUUGUGAAGAUUGGAUAGAUUGUACAUAAAGUGUAAAAGUCUAGCAUUAAAGUGGUGCUAAACCCACUGUAGCUGAUACAAGUUAACAUUUGCUGAGUGCUCAGUAAGUGACAGAUGCUGUGCGACACAAUCUGCAUGUGCAGCCAUGCAUCACUUAAUGAUGGAGACAGAUUCUGAGGAAUGCACCGUGGAACAUCAUGGGGUGCACUUCCACACACCUAGACUGGACAGCCCACCACACACCUAGGCUCUAUGGUACAGCCUGCUGCUCCAGGCAACAAACCUGUACAGCACAUUACUGUGCUGAGUACUGCAGGCAUCUGCAACACAAUGACUCAGAAAAUGAAGCUCUCAAAUAAGAAAAUUAUCUGUGUGUACAGAGAUGAAAGGAAUCAGGGUCUGAGAAGUGGGAAAUGAAGAAAAGAAUAAGAACAUCUCUGAGGUCUCUCAACUCAGGCCAUUAUUUGUGACUCUUCUGCUCCACAGACUUGUACUUGCUUAAGGUGUCUACAUGUUGAAUGUACCUGAUGCACUUCACAAGUUACAGCACCCGGAAGGUACAGAAUGGAUCAUUCCUAAUGAAAAAACGGAAGAAAACAAGGAAAAAAAGAAGAGAGGAAGAAAGAGAAGGAUGGAGGAAACGAGAAAAUGAGAAAAGGAGGAAGAGAGCUCUUCUGUGUGUGCGUGGUUUUAAGACAAUCAGUAGAUCACCUUGGCUGUUCAUGAGAGUCUGAGGGCA